CAUUAAAAUGUUACAAAGAUUUUUUUAAUGCUAUCAAAAAUCAUUCUAUAUCAUUACUGUGCACAUACACACAUGCAUAGACAUGGGGAAAAACAGUAAUGGGUUCCUUAUUUUCU
rnacentral:miRNA from 1 species